UGGUAGCUCAGUCGGGUAAGCGCCCGCUUCUCACGCAAGAGUUGCGGGUUCGAAUCCCGGCGGUGACAU
rnacentral:tRNA from 1 species